UGUAGUUUUUCGAUUAUAUCC
rnacentral:piRNA from 1 species